rnacentral:rRNA from 1 species
UACGUAGGGUGCGAGCGUUGUCCGGAAUUACUGGGCGUAAAGAGCUCGUAGGCGGUUUGUCACGUCGGGCGUGAAAACUCAGGGCUCAACCCUGAGCGUGCGUUCGAUACGGGCAGACUAGAGGUAUGCAGGGGAGAACGGAAUUCCUGGUGUAGCGGUGGAAUGCGCAGAUAUCAGGAGGAACACCAACGGCGAAGGCAGCUCGCUGGGACGGUACUGACGCUGAGGCGCGAAAGCGUGGGGAGCGAACAGG